UAAAGAUUCAUCGCUGAUAGAUAGGCAUGCGUUCCAUUAGGCAGUUGGCGGGGUAACGGCCCACCAAACCGACGAUGGAUAGGGGUUCUGAGAGGAAGGUCCCCCACAUUGGUACUGAGACACGGACCAAACUCCUACGGGAGGCAGCAGUGAGGAAUAUUGGUCAAUGGGCGUAAGCCUGAACCAGCCAAGUCGCGUGAGGGAUGAAGGUUCUAUGGAUCGUAAACCUCUUUUAUAAGGGAAUAAAGUGUGGGACGUGUCCUAUUUUGUAUGUACCUUAUGAAUAAGGAUCGGCUAACUCCGUGCCAGCAGCCGCGGUAAUACGGAGGAUCCGAGCGUUAUCCGGAUUUAUUGGGUUUAAAGGGUGCGUAGGCGGCCUUUUAAGUCAGCGGUGAAAGUCUGUGGCUCAACCAUAGAAUUGCCGUUGAAACUGGGGGGCUUGAGUAUGUUUGAGGCAGGCGGAAUGCGUGGUGUAGCGGUGAAAUGCUUAGAUAUCACGCAGAACCCCGAUUGCGAAGGCAGCCUGCCAAGCCAUGACUGACGCUGAUGCACGAAAGCGUGGGGAUCAAACAGGAUUAGAUACCCUGGUAGUCCACGCAGUAAACGAUGA
rnacentral:rRNA from 1 species